rnacentral:rRNA from 1 species
AGCGAACGUUUGCGGCGGGCCUAACACAUGCAAGUCGAACGCACUAGCAAUAGUGAGUGGCGCACGGGUGCGUAACACGUGGGUAAUCAACCCUUCAGCUUGGGAUAACGACUUGAAAGGGUUGCUAAUACCGGAUACGGCGCGGGAGGCUUCGGCUUCUCACGAGAAAGCCUCGCAAGGGGCACUGAAGGACGAGCCUGCGGCCCAUCAGCUAGUUGGUGAGGUAAGAGCUCACCAAGGCGAAGACGGGUAACUGGUCUGAGAGGAUGAUCAGCCACACUGGAACUGAGACACGGUCCAGACUCCUACGGGAGGCAGCAGCGGGGAAUAUUGCGCAAUGGGCGAAAGCCUGACGCAGCCACGCCGCGUGAGCGAUGAAGGCCUUCGGGUCGUAAAGCUCUGUGGGGAGAGACGAAGAAAGCCCGUGAAGAGCGGGCCUUGACGGUAUCUCCUUAGCAAGCACCGGCUAACUCCGUGCCAGCAGCCGCGGUAAUC